GACGAACGCUGGCGGCGUGCUUAACACAUGCAAGUCGAACGGAGUGGCGAACGGGUGAGUAACACGUUGGGGAUCUGCCUUGCACUUCGGGAUAGGCUAUGGAAACUAGGUCUAAUACCGGAUUGUGCAAGAGGCGUUCGAGGCUUGUCAGCUUGUUGGUGGGGUAAUGGACUAUCAAUGCGUAGAAGGGUAACCGGCCUGUGAGGGUGUACGGCCACAUUGGGAAUGAGAUACGGCCCUGACGCAUACGGGAGGCAGCAGUGGGGAAUAUUGCACAAUGGGCGGAAGCUUGAUGUAGGGACGCCGCGUGGGGGAUGAAGGCCUGCGGGUUGUAAACUCCUUUCGACAGGGACGCGGUACCUGUAUAAGAUGCAGCGGCUAACUACGUGCCAGCAGCCGCGGUAAUAC
rnacentral:rRNA from 1 species